AUGGCUGCAGGUGGAGCUUCUCUUAUUGGUGCUGCUGUUUUCUCCGUGCUGAUCAUGUCUUCCCUGGGGGAUCCGAUGCCUUUAUGCAGCGACUGCGAGACACUGUGCCGUACCAACUGCACCGCGGAGGCUGAAGCCAAUUGCGCCAAUUACUGCAACAACACCCAAGCAACAGCAGGGCACUGCGAAGGUUGCAUGGGCGCCUACUUCGGCCAGCACUGCAAUCCCGAGUGUCUUAAGAAUUGCAGCAACGGCUGCAAGAGGAAGGUGCUUCCGACGCCUUUAUGCAGCGACUGCGACACGGUAUGCAGUACCAAGUGCGACGAGGAGCUUCAAACCACCUGCAGCGAAUACUGCGACUUCAGCCGCAGCGGUCUGGCGGACUGCCAGCGUCAGCUCUUCAAGCGGUGCAAUGCAGAGGGUACCUGCUGCAGUAGCGACGGCACAUGCACUUGUGACUGCGAGACCGAAGCUCGAAAGCAGUGCGUGGGCGUCAGCGACAACUCCAAUAAUUGCGAAGUUUGCAAGCGCAGCCAGUUCGACCAGGACUGCCAUCCCACCUGUAACACCGACUGCAAUAGCAACUGCAAGAAGGAGAAAGGGUGCCGCGGGCACGCAUAG
rnacentral:rRNA from 1 species